rnacentral:lncRNA from 1 species
GGUUAGGUUUGGGUUAGGGUUAGGGUUAGGUUAGGGUUAGGUUGGGUUAGGUUAGGGUUAGGGUUAGGUUAGGGUUAGGUUGGGUUAGGUUGGGUUAGGUUAGGGUUAGGGUUAGGUUUGGGUUAGGGUUAGGGUUAGGUUGGGUUAGGUUAGGGUUAGGGUUAGGUUAGGGUUAGGGUUAGUUUAGGGUUAGGUUGGGUUAGGUAGGGUUAGGUUAGGGUUAGGUUAGGGUUAGGGUUAGUUUAGGGUUAGGUUAGGGUUAGGUUAGGGUUAGGGUUAGUUUAGGGUUAGGUUAGGGUUAGGGUUAGGUUAGGGUUAGGUUGGGUUAGGUUAGGUUAGGGUUAGGUUUGGGUUAGGGUUAGGUUAGGGUUAGGUUGGGUUAGGGUUAGGGUUAGGUUAGGGUUAGGUUGGGUUAGGUUAGGGUUAGGUUUGGGUUAGGGUUAGGUUAGGGUUAGGUUAGGUUUGGGUUAGGGUUAGGUUAGGGUUAGGGUUAGGUUGGGUUAGGUUAGGUUAGGGUUAGGUUUGGGUUAGGGUUAGGUUUGGGUUAGGGUUAGGUUAGGGUUAGGUUAGGGUUAGGGUUAGUUUAGGGUUAGGUUAGGUUAGGGUUAGGUUUGGGUUAGGGUUAGGUUAGGUUUGGGUUAGGGUUAGGUUAGGGUUAGGUUAGGGUUAGGUUUGGGUUAGGUUAGGGUUAGGUUAGGGUUAGGUUAGGGUUAGGUUUGGGUUAGGGUUAGGUUAGGGUUAGGUUAGGUUUGGGUUUGGGUUAGGGUUAGGUUAGGUUAGGGUUAGGUUAGGUUAGGGUUAGGUUAGGGUUAGGGUUAGGUUAGGGUUAGGUUAGGGUUAGGGUUAGGUUUGGGUUUGGGUUUGGGUUAGGGUUAGGUUAGGGUUAGGGUUAGGUUAGGGUUAGGUUAGGGUUAGGGUCGCUGUACUGUUACCUUCCAGACUGGUUCCAUAUGAAUGAAUUUAGCCAUAUUGUAUGUACGUGUUAUUUCGCUGUUGUUGUUGAUGAUGUUGUUGGUAUUCAUCACAUCGACUCAUCUCAGUCUUACCUGGUAAAAUAAAAGUUUAUGUAUUUAACAAAAUAUUACCCCGUCAAUGCACAUUUAUGCUACACGUUAGUUGUUGCUUUACAUUAGGACAUACUUGUUUCAAAGUGCAUGGAUUUGAAAUCUCUUCUCAGUCUUUAUUUCCCACGACAGAAAUCACUUCUAGCAAUAUUAGGCAGUGGGACACUCACUACCCACUCACUAUUAUAAAUACUGUGGGUCUCAUUGACACAGGUAAACGUGAAUUGUGUGUGUUUUAAAGUAGUUAAAUUGUUCUACGGUAGUCUAGUGAUUCAGGCCCGAUACAUUGUUACUAUCUCUUUGUUCAAAAUACUUCAAUUCAAAGGAAAGAAAGAAAACUAAUGCAUUAUUUUUAAAUGGUCUUAUUUUCCCUCCUUGUUUUAAGAAAAAAAUACAUUGCAGAACUGCAACAUUUAUAGUCUAUUUGAGACAUGGAACAAACAAAAAAACUUAUACAAUAAUUUUCAUCUGAAAAAUGCAUUUUUGGUUUUCAAGUCAUGAGGACAAAUGUAUUUUGUCUUUACAGAGACAGGGUUUAUUUUGUCUUUACAGAGACAGGGUAAGCGAAACAACAUUAACUCUGAAUAUUUCCUUCAUUUUUGAUCAUAAUUGAAUUGCUUAUCAAUAGGUUAUCCAUACGAUUCCAAUACAACAUCACAAUUUUAAUACCAGUUCUCAUUCGUGUUCCAACUAAUGAAAAUAAAGAAGAAAAAAAAAAAAAAAAAAAAAUAAUCAUGUUUUUCUUUUACAAAAAAUAAAAAUACAAAAAACAGACACAGAAACAAAUCAGUCAAAAUCUACAGAAAAUUGUAAAUGUAUAAUUAUACUUUGGGAUAGACAGCAUAUUGGCUUUGUUUUCAUCUUUGGAAUGAAGCUUUUGCUUAGAAUAUUCAACCACUACCACACAGUCGAGCCUGAUCCCAGAUCUGUCCGUGCUGUAUAUCUAACUCCUACGGUGGUUGUCACACAAACUGACCUGGAACCAGGCUUCUCAACCACCUCCUGUGAGGUCAUCCUUUCCAGGUGUAAUUUAGCCAUUGUCGUCAGAUUGUAACAACACCUUGCCUUUGGUUUAGAAAACACUCCUCUCUAAGUACCCCUUUUCACACUAUCAUGCCGACCUGAACAAAACCGGGUCAGUACAGUAUGGCUCGGCUCAGUUCGGUUCGGCUCAGUGGUGUGAAAAGGCUUUAUAUAAGACCCUUACUGAGCCAACGUACAUGUAUGUAUCAAGCAUAGACACAUUAAGAGAAUCCAACUGUGGAGAGUGAGAUUGAUGGAUCAAAGUUAAAAGUUAUUGUUCAAUAUUCUCAUGUUCUACUAAAUGAACGAGUGAUUUGAUUCAUCAAGGUUAUUUUGGUUAUCAUCACACUGACCUCUGAACUCUAACCCCCUGUGGUCGUCGGACUGUCUGACCCUUCUCCUACGACCCCCUGAGGUAGGUUAGUGGCCUUGCUGUAGAUCUCUUUAUGUGUGGUUUAAUUAUUAUUAUUAUUUUUUUAAAUUAUUAACCCAGUGAGGACCAGAGUAACAGUACAAUCACUUCAUCCUAAACUCAUUUGUGGUAUUUUAAUCAGACACUGAUUGGGUGCUGCUGUCUAAUAAGAGGGUUUUAUUUGUCAGUUAGCUAAGUGGAAGGUCAAAGAGAGGCAUAGAUUGUCAGGCACAGUGCCUUCAGUGACAUCAUUAAGUUGAGUCUUUUUUCCGUAAUAUUCUUUGAAAGAUGUAUUUUUUUCCUACUGUGUUUUCAGGUCUAUUGUUGUUGGUCAAAAUACUACAUGGUUUGUCCAUCGAUGUCAAAUUCUGCGCUGUGUAAGUUACUAUACGAAGGCUAUUAUCAAAGUUGUGGACUACUGUCUCAAAAUGGGUCUCAGAACAGGUUUUCGACUCAUUCUAUUUAUAUCUCAUCUGUCACUCUUUGACAGUAUGUUAACAGUUAGCCUUGUGUUAGCCUUGUGCAGUAUGUUAUUAACAGUUAGCCUUGUGUUCAUAACCUUCUACUCAGAAUAUGGACGCUUCAGCUAAUUCACUUAUUACCCAAAGGGUACACUAUGACAGUGGAGGGUCAAUAUAUACACAACUGAGCCACACUCUCAGCAACCACAUGCAGUCCAUAGAGUGGUACGGGAUUCUGAACUUAAAAAGUAAUGAAGUCACAAUGCAUUACACUGCUAGCUAAUUGUAAAUAUACUCAUGCAUAAAAUCUGGGCUAUAGCACUGUUGUUUGGCAGUUGCUAAACAUAAUGCUACACUUCAACACAGAAGAAUAGGACAUAAGACAAAGAAGGAAACAUUUACAAAAUGGUGGUCAGAAACUAGGUCGUAAGACAAAGAAGGAAACAUUUACAAAAUGGUGGUCAGAAACUAGGUCGUAAGACAAAGAAGGAAACAUUUACAAAAUGGUGGUCAGAAACUAGGUCAUAAGACAAAGAAGGAAACAUUUACAAAAUGGUGGUCAGAAACUAGGUCAUAAGAACGGGGGGGUUUUUCUCUUUUUUUUCCUAUUUUUUUUUUUACAUUGUAACAUGUAAACUGUGGGCUUAAUCUGCAAUUAUCCUCAUUACAGAAAGCUGAGUGAAUAACCGGAGCCCCUCCAACAACAACAAAAAAAUAAAACCAGAAACAAUUAAAAACCCAAACCACAAAAAAGACAAGCAUUUGUUUUUGGUAAGCGCACCUCUUCAACUAUUACAGAAAUCACAACUUAAAAUGUAUCAAGAUUUUUUUUGGUUUUUUUUUUGUCUCGUAAAGUCACACAGUUACCAAAAUAAUAAUUUAUUACAUAUGCUAGAAUAACAUUACCCUAACCACUAGUAUCUCUGAGGUAUAUCUGAAAACAUUAAGGAGAGCACGAUCUGCGCUGUUGACAUGCCACAACUUUUUCAUUUUUUCAUUUUUUUUUUUUUUAAAUGUAAAGCUUUGUAACCAUUUGGUAGAAUAAGAAGAGGAAGAGGAAACAGAUAUAUUUGGAAAACCUUUGGUAUCAUUUCUCUUAGUUGUUUGCUUAGUGAUUGCAUUGCAAAGUACCACAGAGCCGGACUAAUACAUUGUCCACUAGUCAACAACGCGACGGCCAGCUAGAAGCUGAGGUAAGUACAGAGAGGUCUACACUUUGCUUUGGUUCAAGCAAGGCACUCGUCCCAUGGUUAUCUCAUACUUUGCAACAAAAGCGCUGUUUACGUCUUUGUUAAAGCAGCCCCAGUGGAAAAGUAAUAUAGCUGGCUGAAUAUAGGCCUUUAACCCUAUUAGUAAUAUAGGCAUAUAACCCUAUUAGUAAUAUAGGCCUUUAACCCUAUUAGUAAUAUAGGCCUUUAACCCUAUUAGUAAUAUAGGCCUUUAACCCUAUUAGUAAUAUAGGCCUUUAACCCUAUUAGUAAUAUAGGCAUAUAACCCUAUUAGUAAUAUAGGCAUAUAACCCUAUUAGUAAUAUAGGCCUUUAACCCUAUUAGUAAUAUAGGCAUAUAACCCUAUUAGUAAUAUAGGCAUAUAACCCUAUUAGUAAUAUAGGCCUUUAACCCUAUUAGUAAUAUAGGCCUUUAACCCUAUUAGUAAUAUAGGCCUAAAAGCCUAUUAGUAAUAUAGGCCUUUAACCCUAUUAGUAAUAUAGGCCUUUAACCCUAUUAGUAAUAUAGGCCUUUAACCCUAUUAGUAAUAUAGGCAUAUAACCCUAUUAGUAAUAUAGGCAUAUAACCCUAUUAGUAAUAUAGGCCUCUAACCCUAUUAGUAAUAUAGGCCUCUAACCCUAUUAGUAAUAUAGGCCUCUAACCCUAUUAGUAAUAUAGGCAUAUAACCCUAUUAGUAAUAUAGGCAUAUAACCCUAUUAGUAAUAUAGGCAUAUAACCCUAUUAGUAAUAUAGGCCUCUAACCCUAUUAGUAAUAUAGGCCUCUAACCCUAUUAGUAAUAUAGGCCUCUAACCCUAUUAGUAAUAUAGGCCUAAAAGCCUAUUAGUAAUAUAGGCCUCUAACCCUAUUAGUAAUAUAGGCCUAAAAGCCUAUCAUGUCAGCUCUAGAGAGAGAAUCCAUUGGAGUCAGUAUUGUCAUAUGGUUCCAGGAGUCUCACAUCAACUGUUGCCACUCCCAUAUCUUAAGUAUAUUUGCAUAAUGUAUUAUAUGCUAAUUUGUAUAGGCUACACAUAGAUGAAGGUGGUAACACGUGAUGAACUCCCGUACUUUCAUAGAUGACAAUGGUCCCAAGUUCCCACUAGAUUCAGCAUUAUUUCACUCUCUCUCUCAUUUCAACUCCAUAUUACCUUUCCAAACAGGAGCUAGAGAAUGAUUAGUAUAAUGAUGUGUUCGUAACCAAGUGGGAAGUGGGAAUUUCUCACAUGUAACUGGGAAAAAUCCCAUUGAAGACCCCUCCAACUGGUAAUUACUAGUGGGGAAACUCGUCCCUCCCACUUCUCUCGCAUGCUGACCUUUGACAUCACCUACUUUAUUUAACUAUGCAAGUCAGUUAAGAACAAAUUCUUAUUUACAAUGACGGUCUACACCGGCCAAACCCGGACGACGCUGGGACAAUUGUACGCCGCCCUUAUGGGACUCCCAAUCACAGCCGGUUGUGAUACAGCCUGGAUUCAAACCAGGGUGUCUUUAGUGAUGCCUCUUGCACUGAGAUGCAGUGCCUUAGACCGCUGCGCCACUCAGGAGCCUCAGUGGCUCCCUACUAAGAGAAUGGCCUCUAUAACAGCAUUUCCAGCAGUUAAAUGCAACAACAAAACAUUAUUUAUAAAAAGCUAUCUAUUCAUAUGGUUUGUGAACACUAUAAUUUGUUAACGAGCAUGAUAGCUGUACUUUUAGUUCAUGGUUAAGUAGCUUGUUGACCUUUAGCCAAUCUGCGUUUCUCAACGAGUUCAAAGCACGUGAAUUCAUCCUACUGGUAUUUAAUACUUCACAACUGGCAUAUUCCCACCUCCCACUUGGUUACGAACACAGAAUUAGUUCCAAGGAGUACACUACUGCUAUUAUAAUUAUUACAGCUGUUCUGUUCUUGUCUGAACCAGAAUGCAUCAGGGUUACAUUUUGGUAUGUGUCUUUCAGAGAGGCCUUUCACCAGUGCCUUUGGUUUCUUUGGUUUGGUUUGGUUAAAAUCACAACGUUGCACUGGAACAGUAGGCAGGGAGGAGGAUUGUGGCUUUUGAAGUCCAUUUACAGUAUAUUGUCCAUUGUUUUAUUUCCAUUAAGUCUGAUUGUUUAGGAGUGAUACUUGGGGGAUUGAGGGAAGCAUUUUCAAAUGUAUGGACUGUAGCCUUCUUUGCAAAGGCACUAGUAAAAACACAGCUACUAUAAUGGACACUGUGAUAAGAUGGACAUUGUGGUUUUUGGGCUAAUCAUUCUGACUCUCCUGUGUUUGUAGAUUUAUGAAAACGUUUUUUUCUUUUUUCCGGCACUGCUUGUUUGGCCGUUACAUAAAAAAUAAAAAUAAAAAAAACAAUGAUUAAACGUUCAUCCCUAGAUGUCUGGGAAUUAUAGUAGUAUGUAUAUAUAUAUAUAUAUAUAUACCUUCUUUAUAUAGAGUAUGUGGUUGUAUUUUAUCCAGCCAUACCUUCUUUAUAUAGAGUAUGUGGUUGUAUUUUAUCCAGCCAUACCUUCUUUAUAUAGAGUAUGUGGUUGUAUUUUAUCCAGCCAUACCUUCUUUAUAUAGAGUAUGUGGUUGUAUUUUAUCCAGCCAUACCUUCUUUAUAUAGAGUAUGUGGAUGUAUUUUAUCCAGCCUCUUUGUUGUCUCAAUGCUUCAGUGCAAAAACAGCGUUAACUUUGGGGUUUGUCACAACAACUCAAUGUGUGGUUUGGACACAAUGUGUACUGUGAUCUGGUGAAGGGCUUUCUGAAAGCCAGCAUUAAUCAUGUAUCCCUGACACACACCCUCACCCUCACCUUCCCUCACCCUCACCCUCACCUUCUCUAACCCUCACCUUCCCUAACCCUCACCCUCACCUUCCCUAACCCUCACCUUCCCUAACCCUCACCUUCCCUAACCCUCACCUUCUCUAACCCUCACCUUCUCUAAGCCUCAUCUUCCCUAACCCUCACCCUCACCUUCCCUAACCCUCACCUUCCCUAACCCUCACCCUCACCUUCCCUCACCCUCACCCUCACCUUCUCUAACCCUCACCUUCCCCCUUCGUCCCUAUUAUUUUAGGGGAGGAGAAGACAUGUGUUUGAGAGAACAAGAGAAAGGAGAGGGAAGGAGAAAGAGAGAGAGAGAGAUAAUAUCAAAAUGAAAGCAUGGGUCAAGCGCAGACCGUACUAGAGAAAACAAAUCUUUGGUAUCUUUGGUUUCAUCAACACGAUUAAAAUGACAAAUGGAAAGGUCAGUGAGGUAGCCUCUUUGGUUCUCACUAUAGAAAUAGAAAUAGUUUUUUUUUUUUUGAUUUUUUUUUUUACACAAGUCAUUCUUGGAAGCAGCUAGUUUAAGGGAAUCCUCUGUUUUCCGUUAUCAAGUGAAACAACGACCAACCUCUCAAAUGCUCCAGUUAUCUUUGGUGAGUCUGUCUCAUUCAACGUGCGACCCUCCUCUAUCAGUGGCACAAACAUCCGUCUGAAAUUCAUUGCUUGGUAAACAGAAUAAUGCAAAGGUCUCGCAAAUGAAACAAAUAAAUGAAUUAAUAAUAAAUCACAGAAGGGAAAAAAAAAAAACAAUGCAGUGCUCAUUCAUUAUCUUGUAAAAAUCAACAGAUUGUUUUCAUCAGGAAGAAUAAAGUUAAUGGAGAGAAAAAAAUUAUUCUGUAUAGGAAAAAGAUUUAACUAAAUGUGUUAUAAUAAUUAUAUAAUGGUGACAUUCAUCGUUACAACUACCCUGACAUUAUUUCAUUACAAAAAAAACAUUGUUCUGUCAUUAUUCACUAAACAAUUGAACACCCUCUUGUUGCUUUUUAAAGUAAAGCUUUUACUAAUAAUAAAUUAACGUGGGUAGGACAGAAGCACUGCAUCUUUGAUUCUCUAACUCUCUUAAAUACCCAUAAAUAUUCAUCCCCCCCCAAAAAAAUUACAUCUAAUUAAAUAACAGUAAAUAAUUAAGUAAAAAAACGAUCAUGUGUACUAACACACCUCAUAAAUAAAUAGUUUGACAGCAUCCUCAAAAGAAAACAGGACAAACAAUGUAAACUUUGGUAAACUUAUCAAGGUAAAGGAUUCCAAGUGAGAUUUGGCAAUUUUAAAUGAAUUCUCAAUUAAUUAAAACAAAUAUAAAUUACAUAAAUAAAAUCAUAUAUUACAUAAACCUAGGAAAGACAACAUAAUUGUACAUUAGGCAUUGGCAAACAAACAUAAAUACUAAAGACAAGCAAUGAAAACCUCUUUGGAUUUUAGUUUCAUACCCAUGUUUGGUACAUGUUCCUCAAGACCAGACUGAGUAUGAAAGUGGACUCCACCAGGCUCCGAGCCUCAAGACCAGGGCUAGGACCAGAACCAAGAGGGCUAGGACCAGGACCAAGAGGGCUAGGACCAGGACCAAGAGGGCUAGGACCAGGGCUAGGACCUGGACUAGGACCAGGACCAAGAGGGCUAGGGCCGUGGUGGAGCAUCUUUGUACUAGAAGCCUCACAGAGAGACAACUAGAAAAGGAUAAAGCUAUUUGACCGAUAUUUGAGCAGUUUCUCUCAACAGGUUGAACUACUAGUCUGUUUUGUAUUUUUGGUUUUGCUUAUUUUGAACGUGUGGAGUAGUAGAGUUUGUUUUCCCCAAAAAGUCAUACAGGAUGUGCCUAUGAGCACCCAACCCCUCUGUCCCCUACUGUACCCUCCUUCACUAACACGGACGCUGUGAUUCAGCAGUGGACUGGAGAGUGAGGUGAAUAGAUGAGAGAGAGAGAGAGAGAGAGAGAGAGAGAGAGACAGCUCUUUGUUAUCUUUGGUGUGUACUGUAGUUUCACAUAGUUUCACAGAAUCAUGUUUCUCUACAGACUGCAGUGACAGAUACAGCUGAAUCCUCCGGGCAUGAUGAUCCCUAGUGGACUGGACAGACGGAGAACCGAGGUAAUCAGUGUCCAGUGAAAGGGAGUGAUGGAGAGGAUGCAUCAUACCUACUGAAUCACACAGUGUCAUGUUGAAGAAGGAGCGUACCCUUAACAUCAUACAUACAUGUACUACUAUACAUGCAUGUACUGGGUAGCGCUAGCUAUACGGUAUGCAUGCAUGUAUACAUAUGUGGCUGUAUGUAUGGUCAACAUUGUCAGGAAAAUAAACUUUGGGGGAAAACUUCUGUAGGAAUAAUUAUGAAUCUUUGGUUUUGUAGCUGAUGAGGUUUUCGUUGUUCUUUUCCAUUUUUCUUGAAAAACUGCAUAGGCACACGUUAAAGACAACCUUCCAACUUUCAGAGACACGUCAUUCUGCCUUAGGAAACAACUGCCGCAGCGGCAUAGUUCCCACACGUGUUUUAAACCCUUUCAGUCUCAUCCUGCUUCCCCUUAAAAUGUCCUGACCAAUCAGAACAGAACAAAGCUACUUCUCCGUUCCCCCUGAUGUCUGUCCUCCUCCUCUUCCUCUUCAUCAUCAUCAUCAUCGCUGCUCACAUUUAUAAUUAUCUUCCUCUUUAGAACAGUUUUGUUGUAGAACAGUUAGGUGCAGAAAAAGUUUCUUUGGUUUUGAUUUGUCAAUAAAUAGAAAAAAGUCUCAAAUGUCCAUUUCUGGUCCGUCAAGCCUUUGGCUCACUUUUAUAUCACGAAAAAACCUGUGUACCACGGGACAAGGGGCUGCUUACCGGACUUUUUGCUUUGGUUGUUUGAUCGAUGGCUGAUAGAAGGAUAGACGAGUUUGACAUGAUUGAACUCUAAAGAUCUUAUGUAUGGGGUUGACUUGAAAAGUAGCAGGUUGUAUAUAUUUACAGAAUGUGUAAUAUAAUGAAUGGUUGCUACUGUGUUGAGUGGAGUCCUCAACACAGGCAUGUGUAUAUAAUCAUCAUUGGUGUACCAUACAGAUGGAGUAUCAGCACAGCAGUUAAGAAGCAGACUCUGGGGUCUGCGUCCCAAAUUGCACCCUAUUCCCUACACAGUGCACUAAAAGUAAUACACUAUAUAGGGAAUAAGGUGCCAUUUGGGGCACAGACACACUCUUCCUGGUUUGUUUCUUGGUCUGUUUCUUUCUUAGCCUGGUGCCCAGGGUGUUGCCUCUACAAGACUAGUAGAGUCCAGUGGAGACUAGUAGAGGCUAGUGGAGGUUAGUGGAGACUAGUGGAGACUAGUGGAGGUUAGUGGAGGCUAGUGGAGGCUAGUGGAGACUAGUUGAGGUUAGUGGAGACUAGUGGAGACUAGUGGAGGUUAGUGGAGACUAGUGGAGACUUGUGGAGACUAGUAGAGGAUGGUGGAGGUUAGUGGAGACUAGUGGAGACUAGUGGAGGUUAGUGGAGACUAGUGGAGACUAGUGGAGGUUAGUGGAGACUAGUGGAGACUAGUGGAGGUUGGUGGAGGCUAGUGGAGGUUAGUGGAGACUAGUUGAGACUAGUGGAGGUUAGUGGAGACUAGUGGAGACUAGUGGAUGCUAGUGGAGGUUAGUGGAGAUUGUGGAGACUAGUGGAGGUUAGUGGAGACUAGUGGAGGUUAGUGGAUGCUAGUGGAGGUUAGUGGAGACUAGUGGAGAUUAGUGGAGGCUAGUGGAGACUAGUGGAGGUUAGUGGAGACUAGUGAGGUUAGUGGAGACUAGUGAAGGCUAAUGGAGACUAGUGGAGACUAGUGGAGACUAGUGGAGGUUAGUGGAGGUUAGUGGAUACUAGUGGAGGUUAGUGGAGACUAGUGGAGGUUAGUGGAGACUAGUGGAGGUUAGUGGAGAAUAGUGGAGGUUAGUGGAGACUAAUGAAGGUUAGUGGAGUAUAGUGGAGGCUAGUGGAGACUAGUGGAGGUUAGUGGAGUUUAGUGGAGGUUAGUGGAGACUAGUGGAGACUAGUGGAGGUUAGUGGAGACUAGUGGAGGUUAGUGGAGACUAGUGGAGGUUAGUGGAGACUAAUGAAGGUUAGUGGAGUAUAGUGGAGGCUAGUGGAGCCUAGUGGAGGUUAGGGGAGGUUAGUGGAGACUAGUGGAGAUUAGUGGAGACUAGUGGAGAUUAGUGGAGACUAGUGGAGGUAAGUGGAGACUAGUAGAGGUUAUUGCAGCUGAUUGAUAUUGUCAUUAAAAUAGAAUUGAUGGUUACUAUGUUAAGAUAAACCAUGUUAAGCCAGGGUAGAAUAAUAACUUUAGUCUUACCAGAAAGCUUCUAUAAUACAAAGUUAGGAAACAGGGGGAAAUGGCUCCUCAGGGUUGUGGCCUACUGUCCUAUUUAGUGUUUAUUUGGACAUGGGUGGUUUGUCGAGAUUAUACUAUAGAGAGUAUAGUACUAUACUGUGUGUGUGCAAGAGUGGGUAGUAUAGUAGUAAUUGUAGUAUUAGUAGUAGUUGUAGUAUUAGUAGUAGUUGUAGUAUUAGUAGUAGUUGUAGUAUUAGUAGUAGUAGUCAGUGUUCUUCAGCCUCUGUUUAGAAAUGGCAUCCUGAGUUUUCUAAUAUGUGAAGAACAUUCUACAUUGAGCUGCAGCUCCAGUUCUAUUGCAAAUAAAAUGUGCUUCAAGAUUGUGCUCAAAUAGUUUACAGACCACGACAUAUGUUGAGAGAGAGCUACGUGUAGUAUUUACUUUACACUGUAAAGAGUCAAUGGUGUGUGUGUGUGUGUGUGUGUGUGUGUGUGUGUGUGUGUGUGUGUGUGUGUGUGUGUGUGUGUGUGUGUGUGUGUGUGUGUGUGUGUGUGUGUGUGUGUGUGUGUGUCGGUCAUGUGUGUGUCGGUCAUGUGUUGUGCUUGCAUACUUGCCAGUAGCUGGCUGUGGAAAGGUCUCUUAAGUCCUAAACCUCCCUCUCCCCUCAGAGGAUUCUCUGAUGAUGUUUCAGCCAUCCUCUCUAAUAUCAUGCCUCUCUCUCUAUCUGCUGUCUAUUGGUCUGUUCUCAAGUUAUGAAAUCACACUAGGGUUGCUUUCUCAAAAUUCUUAGGUUUUCCCAGAAAUCCUGGGCGGAGGGUUCCGGAUUUCCUGUUAAUUCCCUCCUGAUUCCGGGAGCUUCCAACCGGGUUUUCUGGGAGAAAAAAAAAAAACCCAGGCAGAUAGCAGGCUAACUAGAGGUAGACCCCGUCUAUACAGGAUUUCUCUGCCCUCUGUUCUCAGUUCCUAGGGAAAAGAAUUGCACAACUAAAUUGUAAAGCUGGCUAAACAUGGAUAUUAAACUAAUUAUUAUUCCAUUGACAUGGGUAAGAUCAAUACCUGUAUAUAGUCAGUCUUUUCUGCUUUUGACAUUUUUUUUUUGACCUGGAUUUGUGUCAACAACAUUCAUCUGAAACAUAUCAGAACUUGUCUCCAUCAUUGGAGAUAAUACUAGGUAUUUGGAGCCAAAUGUUUUAUUUCCUAACAUAAGUAUGCUAUAUGACGAUCUCAAAGAAGUCCUUUACCGGGAGAUUGCUAGAACAUUCUGUGGUUAAGUCUUUGGUGGGUUAGCUAACCCUGUAGUUUCAAUCCAAUAUUACAUAUAGAUAAUUUACAUAAUAUAUAUAUAUGUUAGCAUAUUAUACUUGGUCUUUGGUUUUGUGGGCUAAUGUUUUGAGUGACAUUAUAAAAAAAACUAGAAUAGAGCAGAUUAACUGUGGUUCAUUAUAAUAAAGCUAUAGUUUUCAGAUAGACAUUAGUCAUGAAUAGCCUUGUAUUGGUGGUAUCAUUCAGGCAGUGUGCAAAGGGGGGUGGGAUUAACCCUAUAGUGCUUCAUCAAUGCAUCAAUGUUUUAUAAAUGGAUCUGAUUUCUUUUUUUUGCUAAAUCGGCCAGUAAACAACCCCUUUCCUUUUUAACUCAUCCUCAAAAAAAGCAAAAUGUAAAAACGUUUUGGUUUUCCAGUGGUGCUGCGAAGCCCCUCCCCCUCCCCCCUCCGCCC